UACGUAGGGUGCAGGCGUUAAUCGGAAUUACUGGGCGUAAAGCGUGCGCAGGCGGCUUUGUAAGUCAGAUGUGAAAUCCCCGGGCUUAACCUGGGAAUGGCAUUUGGGACUGCAAGGCUCGAGUGCGGCAGAGGAGACUGGAAUUCCUGGUGUAGCAGUGAAAUGCGUAGAUAUCUGGAGGAACACCGGUGGCGAAGGCGGCAUCCUGGACCGAGAUUGACGCUGAGGCGCGAAAGCUAGGGGAGCAAACGGG
rnacentral:rRNA from 1 species